rnacentral:rRNA from 1 species
AUUGAACGCUGGCGGCCGGCCUAACACAUGCAAGUCGAGGGCAGCGGCGGACGGGUGAGUAAUGUCUGGGAAACUGCCUGAUGGACGGGGAUAACUACUGGAAACGGUAGCUAAUACCGCAUACUAUCAGAUGAGCCUUGGUCGGAUUAGCUUGUAGGUGAGGUAACGGCUCACCUAGGCGACGAUCCCUAGCUGGUCUGAGAGGAUGACCAGCCACACUGGAACUGAGACACGGUCCAGACUCCUACGGGAGGCAGCAGUGGGGAAUAUUGGACAAUGGGCGAAAGCCUGAUCCAGCCAUGCCGCGUGUGUGAAGAAGGUCUUCGGAUUGUAAAGCACUUUAAGUUGGGAGGCGUUACCAACAGAAUAAGCACCGGCUAACUUCGUGCCAGCAGCCGCGGUAAUAC